CUCACUAUAACUUCCAGCUCCAUACGGAUUUCCUGAUGCUGUUGAAACCAGGAGUCUUGCAUACAAACUGUAUUUUUAUUAUUACUUGGAAAUCUUUUGGCUUCUUCAAGUCCUUGUGAUCACCUUGUGGUAACUAAAAAAGAUCUGGCCAUUCUUGGUGUCAUUCAGCAUUGACUGAAUAUCUCCAGAGGAAAGGAAUUAGACAAUAGCUGUCAGUUGCUUCCUAGUUAUGGACCUUGAAGCCAAUACUACAAAAGAAAACAGGACUAUGUCAAUCAUUAAUUUAAAAGCAAGUUGAAUUUAGGACACCAGUUGGACUAAGGGAAGAGAAGGAAGUACUUACAGAAAA